rnacentral:rRNA from 1 species
AUUGAACGCUGGCGGCAGGCCUAACACAUGCAAGUCGAACGGUAACAGGAAGCAGCUGGCUGCUUUGCUGACGAGAGGCGGACGGGUGAGUAAUGUCUGGGAAACUGCCUGAUGGAGGGGGAUAACUACUGGAAACGGUAGCUAAUACCGCAUAACGUCGCAAGACCAAAGAGGGGGACCUUCGGGCCGCUUGCCAUCGGAUGUGCCCAGAUGGGAUUAGCUAGUAGGUGGGGUAACGGCUGACCUAGGCGACGAUCCCUAGCUGGUCUGAGAGGAUGACCAGCCACACUGGAACUGAGACACGGUCCAGACUCCUACGGGAGGCAGCAGUGGGGAAUAUUGCACAAUGGGCGCAAGCCUGAUGCAGCCAUGCCGCGUGUAUGAAGAAGGCCUUCGGGUUGUAAAGUACUUUCAGCGGGGAGGAAGGGAGUAAAGUUAAUACCUUUGCUCAUUGACGUUACCCGCAGAAGAAGCACCGGCUAACUCCGUG